UGAAAUAAUAAAAUAUUGGUUUGUAGGGUUUAGUUUUUGAGCUGACAAAUUUUAAAAAUUUAAGGUUGAAAGAUAGAUUUUGCGAAACGAGAAUGAAUGAGAGGUUUCUCAGAGUGCGACUAAGAAUACGAUUUUGAGGGAUUUGGAGUUGUAGUAAGAUUUUGAUGACGACUACAAUUUUCAAUUUCGAUUGGGAGUUCGAAUUGGAGUGAGAGUGCGAAUCAAUUUUUCACUUCGAUUUUGAGGUUAGUUUUGUUUCAUUGCGUUUGAUUUUGGAUAUAAGGGUUUUUUUGUUUUAGAUUUCCGUUUUGGGUUUUGAGUUUAAGGGUUAUUUAGGAUUUCAUUUUGGGUUUUUGACUUUCAGGGUUAUGUAGGGUUUUGUUUUGGGCGUUGAUUUUAGGGUUCAUGUUGGUUUCCGUUUUAGAUUUGGAUUUUAGGGGUUAUUUAGGGUUCCUUUUUGGGUUUUGAUUUUAGGGGUUAACUAGGAUUUCAUUUUGGGUUUUUGAUUUUAGGAGUUAUUUAUGUUCCAUUUUGGGUUUUAAGUUUAAGAAUUAUGUAGGUCUGUUUUGGGUUUUGAUUUUAGGGGUCAUUUAGGAUUCUUUCUUGCCAUUCUAGAAUUAUAUUCUUAGCAUCACAUUUCCUUUCAUAUAUGCAUUCAAAUUUUCUUAUACUUUAACCAUUCUUUACUUCUUUUCAAUUCUAAAUUUGAUAUUAGUGUUUGAAUAUAUGCUAUUUCUAUUUUCAUUUUAGAUUAUUGUAAAUUCAAUUGUAUUUGCAUUCAAUAUUAGUUUGCAUUAAAAUUCUUGUAUUUAUCUCUUAUGCAUACCAUAAGAUAGUGAAUUCCAUAUAAAGAGUCAAUCCAAAUCCGUGUGCACUACUAUUGCAUGAUGGUUUUGUGUAACUAACGUCUUUUUUCUUUCCAAUAUUUCAUAUAAUAGCACUUUAACAAUCUUUUUUUUAUAUAAACUUUGUAUAUAAUGUGAUGCAUGUUGAAUGGCUUAUGGAAAUUGAAAAUUUUAAAUUGUAAGUGGAAAAAAUAAAUGGUGGGCUUUAGUUACUUGUACAUAUGUUCAAAUUUAGUCCUUCAUCUUGCAAUAUUUUUUUCAAUCCUGAAGUAGCUAAGGAGCCGCCACAAUUGGAGCUUAAUCCAAAGAAAUUCAUGUGCUCUUGGUUCUUGUUUUCCAUCAAUUUGUUGGAAAGGUCUUGUCAUAUUAUUAUUUGCAUUUCUUACUAUACCGACCCGUCCUCGGGCGUUGACCAAAGUCAACACUUGGUAGGACUCAUCAGGGGCACAAUGAGGUGAGAAGGGAGACGACCAGGUCUCGGGCGCUGACCAGGCCCCGGGCGUUGACCGGCCUCGGGCGUUGACUGGGUUCAGACCAAGAAGCGUUUACAACUGGGUGGUGCCAUCCCCCGAUACCCACGGGUAGGAGUGACAGUGGAGAGGGCAGCACAAUAGGAAGCGACACAAGUAGGAGGCGACAAGGUAGAGGCGUGGAGGCCUCAGGCCUCGGUACCCCGACAGAGUAAAAAUAGAAGAGAAAUGUGGUUUCCUAGCCACACCCCUUGUACCAGCAGGGAGAGACCCAACUCGCGGAGUAUCUGUGCAUGAGGCGUGGGAACGCGACAGUACGCGCCACCGUCAGAGAACCACUGGGACAGAUACAACACAUGAGAAGGCCACGUCCCAGGGGGUAAUCUGCAUGCAUGGUACGUGAGGAGGGUAGAAACACUCCUAAGGCGAGUGACUAGGAGCUGGGGUGCAUGAGUUGGCACCCAUGUAAUCACCCCCCGCGCCAGAUGCACUUCGAGAAGGGAGACUUACACGCUGGGAUUUCCCUAAGUUGGGUUACAGCGUCGUAAGGCCUCCCAUACAGAGUUAUGCUUAAGUCAGAAGGAGACACGUGGCAGAAGCACUGGAAAGGUAUAUAAGCUUUCGCUAUCAGCAGACUAAGGUACGUUUUACACGCUUAGAGUCAUUUGCGCUUACGCACUGUAUGCAUGAGUGACUUGAGAAUGAGAGAGAAUACAGUUAGAAUCCAGUUACGCACCUUUUGAACACGGUGUCUGUGGUGUUCUGAUAUGGAGGUGCACGGUGUUUUCUGCUAGUACUGACUUGAGCGUUGGAGUGCAAACGGCUGCGAGGGCGCCCUUUUUUCUCUCUGUUUCAGGUACUCACGGCGGCGAAGGAUGGAGAUUUGGAACGAAGACGAAGGAGUCCUUGAUACGCAGCACGUAGCUAUGCACGAAGAACAAUCUGGUCAACCAGUAUGAACAUUUGGAGCCCACCGUGGGGCAGAUCUAAAACAGCAGUCCCACUGCAAGUAGUUUGAGUUUCAGUAGCGACAACGAGGUUUGUGGAGGUUUUUCAAGAUUCUUGCAAGAUUCGCCGAUAAUAUUCAAGUUUCGUUCAGUUCUACCGAAGCAAGUUCCAAGAUUCAUAGUAACAGUUCAAGAUUCUCUAGGAAACCGUGAAGAAUGAGGACUACGAGGCAUAGUUCAACAACACGCACAGAGAGUGAUGGCAUGACCUUGCAGCAGGUCGUGGAGGUGAUGGCAGCGUCGAAAGCGGAGCAAGAACACAUUCAGCUGGAUCUCGCGGCGUCGCAGGCGAGAAACGAAGAGCUGUGCCGCGCGAACGAAGAGUUACGCCGCGGGUUGCGCAACCACCCUGGGAAUCGUGAAACAGAGGAUCGCGAGUGUUUCACACCACCUAGGGAGUUUCCUAUGCCGUUCUCGCAGUCUAUCAUGGAGGCAGUGAUCCCACACACGUUCGUGGGUCCGAAGGCGCACCUCACUGCGUUCCAUAUGCAGAUGAUGCUUGUUGGCAGUUCUGACGCCGUGAGGUGCAAGCUCUUCAUGAGUACAUUGACAGGUAUGGCAAUGGACUGGUGCAUUAGCCUUCUAGAUGGUCAUGUGACCUCCUUUGCGCAGCUUUCACAGCUGUUUAGGGAGCAGUAUAUCACGAACCGAGCUCCCUCGCCGGUGUCGUAUGACUUCUUCGACGUGAAGCAGUAUCAGGGGGAGACGUUGAAAGAAUACAUCAACCGUUUUCAACCGUUUUGGGAGACGUUGAAAGAAUACAUCACUACGGAAGAGCCAAUGAUCGUGUAUGCGUUCAGGAAGGGGAUCUGCCCUGGGCCAUUCUGCGAGUCGAUCAUCAGGAAUCGCCCCAGAACUUUCGCAGAAAUAAGGCGUCGCACGGAAGGGGAGGUGUGUGAGAAACGUUCAACUGUUGCACCUGCGCGCCCUAGAGCACAAUCGCGUGCACAGCCCGCAAGGGUGAAUGAGGCCGCGACGGGGAAGAGAGGCCAAGAGAGGAAGCGCCCCUACGAGGCGAGGAAGCCCCAGACGAGGGGACGCGCAGGGGAGAACCGGCAGGCUAGGCACAACUUCGUGGUGGAGCUGAAGGACCUCAUCGCAGUACCUAACAUCGCAGAUAGGCUGAGGGUCCCUGCGAAGACAGAUAAGGUGUUGGGACCACACAAGGACACGUGGUGUGAGUUCCAUCAGGCGUUUGGGCAUCAGAUUACCAACUGCUUGGCUAUGGGCCAUCAGUUGGACGAGCUUGUGAUGAGCGGGUUCUUGAAUGACUAUUUGGCGGGGUCAUCCACAGCUGCGGCCUUGGCGGUACCAGUAGAAGAUCAGGCCCAUGAGAUGCCAAUCCAUGGGGAGGUUCACACCAUUUCUGGUGGCUUUUCAGGCAGAGGAUGCACUGCCUCUCAGCGCAAGAGGUACGUGGUGUGAGUUCCAUCAGGCGUUUGGGCAUCAGAUUACCAACUGCUUGGCUAUGGGCCAUCAGUUGGACGAGCUUGUGAUGAGCGGGUUCUUGAAUGACUAUUUGGCGGGGUCAUCCACAGCUGCGGCCUUGGCGGUACCAGUAGAAGAUCAGGCCCAUGAGAUGCCAAUCCAUGGGGAGGUUCACACCAUUUCUGGUGGCUUUUCAGGCAGAGGAUGCACUGCCUCUCAGCGCAAGAGGUACGUGCGGUCAGUGAAUUCGGUGGCUAAGCAGGGGGCAGACGACUCGCUCGACAUCGACCUUGCGUUCACAAGGGCUGAUUUUCGCGACGUCGUCCCCCACAAUAACGACCCUGUCGUGACUGCAAGGAGGAAGGUGCAUCGCAUGCUCGUGGACCAGGGCAGCUCCGCGGACGUAAUGUUCUGGUGCACGUUCAACAAGUAGUAACUGUCCCCUGAUCUGCUAAGGCCAUAUACAGGGUGCUCCUAUGGUUUCGCAGGGGACCAGGUGGAGGUGCAUGGCUAUCUUGAGUUGAGAAUGACUUUCACAGAUGGUACGAUGUCGCAGACCGAGAACAUAAGGUAUCUGGUUUUGAACGCCAGUUCGACGUACAACAUUCUGUUGGGGAGGCUAGCCCUGAACAAAUUGAGGGGGGUGUCGUCGACACGACACAUGAAGCUGAAGCUGCCUGAUUCAGUGGUAGAAUGAUCGUGAUCAAGUCCAAUCAGCAGGAAGCGAAAAGGUGCUAUGAAAAUAUCCUGAAAACAAAGAGAGGCGUGUUUAUGGUGGUGGAGCACCCACCCAGCGCGGAUACGCCCAUGGAGGUAGAGCCCGUGGAGGAGAUGCCCGCUGAGGCAGUGCCCACGAAGGAGGCGCUCGAGGAGGCGGUACGCAUGGGAGAGACGCCCGCGGGGGCAUCGCCCAUGGGGGAAGUGCCUGCUGAGGCGACACUUGGAAGGGAGGGCCGCGAAGGCGUGUCUCGCGCAGAGAACGCCCGGGAGAGGCGGCCCGAGCCAGUAGAGAAUGUGGUAGAGAGGCAGAUUGGUGGUAAGACUUUUAAACUGGGACGGCUGAUGAGUCAGGAAGAACAGGACCAGGUGGCGGCAGUAAUCUCACGUCACCUGGACGCCUUUGCAUGGUCCGCCUCGGACAUGCCCGACAUUGACUUGGAUUUUUUAUGCCACCAUCUCACCAUGGACCCCAAGGUCCGCCCUGUGCAACAGAGGAGGAUAAAGUUCAACGAGGAAAGGCGCCUCGUCAUGCAGGAAGAGACCAGGAAGCUGCUGAGCGCCGACCACAUCAGGGUGAUCCAGUACCUUGAGUGGCUGGCCAACGUGGUGUUAGUGAAGAAGGCGAACGGGAAGUGGAGAAUGUGUGUGGACUUCACUGACCUGAAUAAGGCGUGCCCUAAGGAUUCGUAUCCCCUGCCUAGCAUCGACGCGUUGGUGGACAACGCCUCGGGCUGCAAGAUGCUGAGUUUUCUGGAUGCGUUUUCGGGGUACAACCAGAUCAAGAUGCAUCCCCGUGACGAGUGCAAAACGACAUUUAUGACAGAGAUGUGCUGUUAUUGCUACAAGGUGAUGCCGUUUGGGUUAAAGAAUGCAGGCGCUACUUAUCAAAGAUUGAUGGAAAGGGUCCUUGCACCCAUGCUGGGUAGGAAUGUGCAGGCCUAUGUAGAUGACAUGGUGGUGACCUCCCAAGAGAGGGGGCGACACACAACUAAUCUGGAAGAGCUGUUCGCCACAAUAGCCAAGUACCGCCUCAAGCUGAACCCUGAGAAGUGUGUGUUUGGGGUCGAGGCGCGUAAGUUUUUGGGUUUUAUGCUCACUGAGCGGGGGAUAGAGGCGAACCCCGACAAGUGUGCGACGAUUCUGGCAAUGAGGAGUCCCGCCUCGAUGAAGGAAGUUCAGCUGUUGACGGGGCGGAUGGCCACUCUGUCCAGAUUCGUAUCCGCUGGAGGAGAUAAGGGACACCCUUACUUCCAGUGCUUGAAAAGAAACAGUAGGUUUGAUGGAAGAGGGCCAAGCACACCCUUCCGUGAAAGGCAAGAGCCAAGUCAAGAACGUCUAGACCACAAGGCAAGAGCAUCUAGACCAUCCAAGACCAAGCUAGGAGCGUCCAAGACCAAGCUAGGAGCGUCUAAAGAUCAAGCUAGGAGCGUCUAAGACCAAGCUAGGAGCGUCUAAGACCAAGCUAGGAGCAUCUAAGACCAAGCUAGGAGCAUCUAAGAUCAAGCUAGGAGCGUCUAAGACCAAGCCAAGAGCGUCUAGAACAAGAAGACUUGGAUCAAGCUAUGAAUGGAAAAAGGCCUAAUAGCACAUAUUCCGUGAAGGCCCAUCAAGUGUAGUUUAGCUUUAAAUGAGGUGUAAAUAGCAUAACCAUGUGGACAAUUGUUUAAUUUUCUGCACAUUAGAAUUAAGGAAGCAUUAACCUUGAUUAGCUAAAGGUUUCUAGAAGCCUUUACUAAUAAAGGACCAUGUGCACCCAUGUGCACCCAUGUGCUUCACAUUUACAUUUCAUUUGGCUUACAUUUGUGUAGCAUUUAGGUCAUCAAAUCUGGUCCUCCUUAGCCUAUAAAAGGAGGGGCCAACCUCAUGUAUUGCAAGUUUAUUGUGAGUAAAGUUAUGCUGCCAUUUUGUGCCAAGGUUUGCUUCUCCCUAGAACUCUAGGCUCUAAACUUCACAUUCUUCACCUUUCCUUGGGCUGGCCGAACCUCCCAAUGUUCAUACACAUCAUGCACCUUCAAGAUCAACAUCAUUCUUAGGAGGAUCUUGCACACACACAUCCAUAGCUUCCGCACCAUCUCUUACAUGAUUCAAGAAGAACUUCAUGAAUUUUGCCAUCAAGGUUUACGUGGACAGAGGAGUGCGAGGCGGCAUUCCUCAAGCUCAAGGAGUAUCUGGUGGCUCCUCCCGUGCUUUGUAAGCCACAGACAGGCGUGCCCCUCCGGUUAUACUUUGCGGUGACCGAGUGGGUGAUCAGUGCUGUGCUUGUUCAGGAGCAGGACCAGACCCAGAAACCUAUAUACUUCGUGAGUAAGGUCUUGCAAGGGUCGGAGGCGAGGUAUCAGUCUUUAGAGAAGGCGGCUCUGGUAGUGGUGUUCUCGGCCAGGAGGCUCCAUCACUACUUCCAAAGGCUUACGGUGGUAGUAAUGACGGACCUCCCCAUCCAGAAGGUGUUGCAAAAGCCAGAUGUCGCAAGAAGGAUGGUCUGUUGGGCGGUGGAGCUAUCUGAGUUUGAUAUUCUGUAUGAGCCCAGAGGGUCCAUCAUGGGGCAAGUGUACGCAGAUUUCUUGGCGGAGCUCUUGCCAGGAAGCACACAGCAAGAGGAAGAGGUUGGCUCCCAGUGGGUGCUCUCGGUGGAUGGGUCCUCCAACCAGCAAGAGAGUGGAGCCGGCGUGGUCCUGGAGGGGGGCCAAAUGGUUUGCUGAUCGAGCAGGCCCUGAGGCUUGCGUUCAAAGCUAGUAGGAACCAAGCAGAGUACGAGGCCCUAAUAGCUGGGAUGCUCUUAGCCAAAGAGCUGGGUGCACGGAGCCUGCUCGCCAAGAGUGAUUCGCAGCAGGUCAUGGGGCAGGUGGCCGGGGAGUACCAAGCCAAGGAUCCGCAGAUGGCUACAUAUUUGAAGUAUGUCCAAGUGCUGAAAGGGGCGUUCGUGGCGUUCGAGUUGGUCCAUGUCCCGAGAGAGCAAAAUGCCCGUGAUGACCUGCUCGACAAGCUGGCCAGCUCAGACAAGGGGGGAAGGCAGAGGACGGUCAUCUAGGAGAACCUCAAAACGCCGCGAACAUUUGUGGUGGAUAACAGGGUGGACGUCCUUCAGAUCAGUGCGUUCAAGGAAAGGCCGAGGAGUUAUCGGUCCUUGAUUCAGGACACGGCGAGGGCCCCCAGUAUAAGUGUUUACCUUGCCUCGCCAGAAGGGGAGGACCCCAUGCAGGUGUGCGUCCUGGAAGAAGGGGACACGUGGAUGACGCCCUAUAGGCGCUACAUCGCGGAUGGGAUCCUCCCAGUAGAGCCCGAAGAAGGCAAGAAGAUAAAGAGAAAUUCCACGAGGUACACCCUCGUGGAUGGAGCACUGUUUAGACACGGGUUCACGCACCUGACCUUGACAUGCGUGAGUGGAGAUGAGUGCACGAGGAUAAUGUCUGAGGUCCAUGAAGGGAUUUGUGGGAGCCACGUAGGAGGAAGGUCUUUGGCGCCCAAGGUGGUGCGUGCAGGCUUCUAUUGGCCAACGGUGAGGGAGGACUGCGUAAGGUACGCCCAGCAUUGCAAGCAGUGCCAACUGCAUGCCGAUUGGCACAAGGCGCCCCUAGAAGAACUGAGGUCAAUUUACAGCCCAUGGCCUUUCCACACGUGGGGAAUUGACAUUCUGGGGCCUUUCCCAUUAGCAAUAAGGUAGAUGAAGUACUUGAUAGUUGCUAUUGAGUACUUCACAAAGUGGAUAGAAGCAGAGCUGGUGGCAUAGAUCACCGUACACAAGGUACAACACUUUGUCUGGAAGAACAUUAUGUGUCGCUUUAGUGUACCGAGGCGCCUUGUCUCGGACAAUGGUACUCAGUUUGCAAGCCAGCAGUUGGGAAAACUGUGUACAGAGAUAGGCAUCAAGCAAGUGUUCGCAUCUGUCGAACACCCCUAGACGAACGGACAGGUGGAGUCCGCCAACAGAAUCUUGCUGAGGGGGUUGAAGAGGAGGCUUGAGAAAGCCAAGGGAACUUGGGCGGAGGAAGUGCCCAGGAUAGUGUGGGCUUAUCACACCACGCCCCAAACUUCCACCAUGGAGACGCCGUUCAACCUAGUAUACGGAUCGGACGUCAUGAUCCCAGUAGAGAUCCACGAGAGCUCACCGCGUUUCCAGAGUUUUGUGGCUGAGGAGUCCAACGAGGAGAGGAGGGUAAAUCUAGAUUUGUUGGACGAAGCUAGAGAAGAAGCGAGAAUAAAGGCUGAGGCCGUUAAGAGAAAAGUGGAGCAUCAGUACAACUCCAAGGUGAAGCCUCGACAGUUCCAAGUGGCUGACUUGGUCACAAGUAAGGCUCAUCCAUAUGAGUUGGAGAACAAGCUUGUCCCCCAAGUGGACCGGGCCCUUCAGAGUAACCGAGGCUCGGGGGAACGGGUCGUACAAGCUUGAGACUCUGGAGGGAGGCCCCAUCUCGCGCACUUGGAACGCGGCAAAUUUGAAGUUUUAUUUCAGUUAAAAACUCUAUGUAGUGUACAGUUCAAGGGGACACUCUUUUUCCCUUUCGAGGGUUUUUUUAAUGAGGUUACCCAAGUAAAAAUCAGUUUGAGCAUACAUUGUCUUAAGUUUUCCUUAUUACGAUGUAAAGAAACACUAAGAAGAGAUAACGCGGUUCAGUAAGAAACGAACCCACCACCUUGGUGUUUAGACACCUCGAGGGGAGAUGCAGGGGUGCCUCCCUCGGGCGUGGGCACCAAGGACAAAAAGGAAGUUCAGAGCAGUGGAGAGCCAGGUGCCUUGAUGCAGAUACACGCCAGAUGGGAGAAGCGCUAUCCUUUGGGAAACCUUCUCCUUGGGCGUAAACGCCAAGUCCCUGCUCAUCUUGGUGUUUAGACACACCAGGGACGAAACGACACUAAUUUUAGCAGGCCUUUCCUCGGGUGUGGGCACCAAGUACACUCGCCUUGGUGUUUUAGACACACCGAGGACGUAACGACACUGCUUCCUAGCGGGCCUCUCCUCGGGCGUGGGCACCAAGUGCAAGAUAUAAGGACUGGUUGCCUUGGUGUUUAGACAUAUCGGGGACGAAACGGCACUGCCUCAGACAGGUCUCUCCUCGGGCGUGGGCACCACGAGCAACUUCGUCCUAGUGUCUAGACACAUUGAGUACGAAACGACCCUACUUUCAGCAGGCCUCUCCUCGAGUGUGGGCACAGAGUCCAGUAAAUGGACUUCGGCCAAGAUAAGUCUUCCUUCGCCUUUGAGCGACGUCGAGGCCAGUGAAGAUAAGUUCUCCUUCGCCUUUAAGCGAUGUCGAGGCUAGUAACACCUUCGGGGGUAGGCGCCUCAGGGCCACGAGGGUUAAGCGAAGAUCAAGUUAAAAGAUUCCUACGAGUUAAGAAGAGGAAAGGAUCGGGAGCAAGCGAAAGGUAUGCACGUUUGACUUUGUAAGAAAGAUAAGAAGGAAAAGCGCGCGCUACCUAUAGUUCGAGAAAGUAAAUAAGCUAGGCAAAGGAAAACAAAGUAAACAACAGAAACAUCAUGGAAGCGGCAAAUAUGAGUAAGUAGAAGUAAAUCCUUAAAGUUAAAAGAUGAAGGUCAUCCAGAAUGUGUAGAGUAAAUAACAGGGUUUCAAAGUUACAACGAAAAGGAUAGCUAGUCGUCUUCAGAAAAUUCUAUUGGCACGACUUUCCCCUCGACGACGUGGUUAGUAGGGGCGUAGUUGGAGACGUCCAUCUCAGGGUGUUCGUAGACCACCUGAGACAGGGCUUCCCCAAACCCUGUAGCAAAGGCGUUCGUGGCGUCGUCGAGGAGCUCCUUCUCGAUUUGCUGGGAGCGCUCAACCUGGGAAGCCAGCUCUUUCUUCAUGGUUGCCAAGGCUUCAGCCUUCACAGCAAGCUGCUUGGCGAGUUCAGCCUUCUCAGCAAGCUGCUUGGCGAGUUCAGACUUCAUCAGAUCAAAGGCUUCGUUCUUGGCAGCCGGUUCAGCCUUCAUCAGAUUAAAAGUUUCGUUCUUGGCAGCAAGUUCAGCCUCCACCUUGCCUAAGUUUACCUCUUGAGAAACACAGCGUUCCUCAAGGGUGGUCAUUCUGGUUUUGGAGGCAUCGGCGACUGCUUUCAGUUCAACUAUUUCUUCAUGAUGAAGGGGCACUACUUUGGCCAGAAGCUCAGUAUAUGUUUAGCCCGCUGCAUGAAGUCUCUUAUUAGCUCCCUCCUCAGCUUUUUGUGCCACCUUCAGGGCCUCUUUGAUAGCGGCCUCUUGGUUGAACCAGCGGUGGGCUUGGUCGUUUGUUUGUUCCUUCAGCGAGGUCAACUCGUAUGCCAGNNNNNNNNNNNNNNNNNNNNNNNNNNNNNNNNNNNNNNNNNNNNNNNNNNNNNNNNNNNNNNNNNNNNNNNNNNNNNNNNNNNNNNNNNNNNNNNNNNNNNNNNNNNNNNNNNNNNNNNNNNNNNNNNNNNNNNNNNNNNNNNNNNNNNNNNNNNNNNNNNNNNNNNNNNNNNNNNNNGUGCAAGAGUGGGCUCAGGGGAAGUUUCAGCUCCCUCUCCCAACGCCCUAUAGUUAGGAGAUGUGAAGGCACUAGGAGGAUGCUCCCUAGAAGACUCAGCAUCCUUGUUGGAGGUGGAGUGGGAUGUGGCUACUGUGGUGGUCCUCCUCCUUUUGAAGACUGGGCCUUCAGUAGUAUCCUCCUCGUCGCUCGAGGGAACAAUCACCACCCCUUUGCCUUUGUCCAGGGGCACUGGUGGAGAUGAGGCCCCAACCAUGGCCAAGGGGAUGGCCGUGAUGGGAAGUGGAGAAGUAGGGAUUGGUAUGGUAUAAACAGAAGGAGGGUUUUCGGUGGUUUGAGCAGGUGUAGGUGUUGGUAAGGUUUGGGCGGGGGAAGUUGGAGAGGUGGCAGCCAAAGCAUCAGGGGCUGGGGGUGUAGAGGCACUAGCCCCACCUGAAGUGGCCUUGCCACGAGCAAACAAGACCUUGGCAAACCUCUUAUGUUUCUACAUACCUAGCAGCAUGUCUGCACCAGAGAAGAAGUGUUGUGAGUCAAACAUGCCAUGAAAGUAGUGUAAGAACAAUUUGAAAGUAUGCAAGAAGAAACAACAUAAACAGAGAUAGAGAAUUGAAGUAGUAAAGAAGGGAUUACUCCCAUACCGAUACAACGGGUCAGUGCAACGAGGUCGUAUUCAUGUUUAAUUAGCUUAGCGGUAUUGAACACUAUCCCUAAGCUAGCCAAGACUUGGCAUAUCUCGCGGUCAGCCGAGUUUAGCUCGUCCAAAGUCUUGGCUUUCUUCAGUUUCACUUCCCUCACCCAAUACAAGGGGAAGCCAUCUAGGGCAGUGAGGUCAGCUUCAGAGCUGCACACCCUGAAGAACUUCCCUCAGAAACCCUUGUAGGAUUGCUGGAAGAGAGACAAGAUUAUCCUCCCAACAAUGUCGCUGAAGCUGACCCACAAAUUCUUCCCAGGGCUUUUUGCCUCGAAGAAAUGGAGGAAGACAUCCACUGAGGGAUAGCACCCAAAAUAGCUGAAAAGGAUGCCGAAAGCCCUGAUGAAAGCCCAACUGUUGGGGUGUAGCUGGGCUGGGGCUACGUUCACCUCUGUCAGAAGCUCCCUUUCGAAGCUUGUGAAAGGGAGGCGUAGGCCAACGCGUUGGAAAACUAUUUGGUAGAAUAUAAAGAAGGGUUCCUCACCAUUCGAGCGGUUAUCUUCACAUACAGUUUUGCCCGCUGUGCAGGGACGAACAGAGAUGUAGGCGUCGUGCCUUGUCCCGAAGGCCCUACCCUUGCACCCGGGUUCGUUGUUUAGAUGGUCCCUCCAAUCCGAAAAAGAAGUUAGGGUUGAGGUCUCUGCGAGCAAUUCAUCAGAGGCCCAAGGGUAUAAUGGUUUGUAGUUAACGCUGGGAGGUGUUGGGUUAGCGGUGGUUUUGGUACACGCCAUUGCACAGCAAAGAAAGCUGAGAAGAAGAAGAGCAAAGGUUUAGCAAGCAGUGGCUAUGGGGGCAAAGUCGAAAGAAACCCAGAAAAACCCUACCCACGCGAGAAGUUCAGAAAACAGGGGAACGAAGAAAACGAGAAGGAAAGCGUAAAUACGAGAAUUUAAACAGUCCCAGACAGUAAUAUCAGAAUGUAAAAUCAAGAGCAAGAGCCAUCAAUGCAGAAAAAUCAUACCUUUGGAUGAUCUAAGAAGGGGAAGUCCUAGGUCUGAGAGGGGAAAUCAGAGGAAGCUUUGAGAAGGAAGAUGAAGAGAGAAAAUGAGAAGCGUAAGUGAUGGAACAGUGUCUGAAGCGCGCGAUUUCGAAAGCUAUAACAUAAACUUGAGAAGCGCAAGGGACGUUAAGUCGUGACCGUGUGAUUGGGCCACGUGUUGAAAGAUUACCGCAUGACUCAAGGUGUCACGUCAUUGUGCAGAAAACGUCUUGUCAACAGAACGCCACGUAGGACAGUAGGGCGAGGCCUUAGUCUUUUCGCUGAAAUCAGUGUUGUCAGCUCAAGACUGGGGGGCUUGUGUACCGACCCGUCCUCGGGCGUUGACCAAAGUCAACACUUGGUAGGACCCAUCAAGGGCACAGUAAGGUGAGAAAGGAGACGACCAGGUCUCGGGCGCUAACUAGGCCCCAGGCGUUGACUGGCCUCUGGCGUUGAUCGGCCUCGGGUGUUGACCAGCGUCGGGCGUUGACUGGGUUCGGACCAAGAAGCGCUUACAGCUGGGUGGUGCCAUCCCCCGAUAUCCACAGGUAGGAGUGACCGUGGAGAGGGCGACACAGUAGGAAGCGACACAGUAGGAAGCGACACAAGUAGGAGGCGGCACGGUAGAGGCGUGGAGGCCUCGGGUACCCCGACAGAGUAAUAAUAGAAGAGAAAGAUGGUUUCCAAGCCACACCCCCAGUACCAGCAGGGAGAGACCCAACUCGCGGAGUAUCCGUGCAUGAGGCGUGGGAACGCGACAGUAUGCGCCACCAUCAAAGAACCACUGGGACAGAUACGACCCAUGAAAAGGCCACGUCCCACGGGGUAAUCUGCAUGCAUGGUACGUGAGGAGGGCAGAAACACUCCCAGUGCGAGUGACUAGGAGCUGGGGUGCAUGAGUUGGAACCCAUGUAGUUACCCCUCACGCCAGAUGCACUUCAAGAAGGGAGACUUACACGCUGGGAUUUCCCUAAGUUGGGUUACAGCGUUGUAAGGCCUCCCAUACAGAGUUACGCUUAAGUCAGAAGGAGACACGUGGCAGAAGCACUGGAAAGGUAUAUAAGCUUUCGCUAUCAGCAGACUAAGGUACGUUUUACACACUUAGAGUCAUUUGCGCUUACGCACUGUACGCACAAGUGACUUGAGAACGAGAGAGAAUACAGUUAGAAUCUUGUUACGCAUCUUCUGAACACGGUGUCUGUGGUGUUAUGAUACGGAGGUGCACGGUGUUUUCUGUCAGUACUGACUUGAGCGUCGGAGUGCAAACAGCCGCGAUGGCGCCCUUUGUUCUCUCUGUUUCAGGUACUCACGGCGGCAAAGGGUGGAGAUUUGGAACAAAGACAAAAGAGUCCUUGAUACGCAGCACGUAGCUACGCACGAAGAACAAUUUGGUCAACCAGCAGGAACACUUACCAUUUUGAAUUUUUUAUUCUAUAUGGAAAAUGAUAUGUUGUUGUUCUCGCCGGUUGACUUCGAUUGGACUUGGUAGUGAGCUUCGGGUUAAAGCGACUUUGCUUGGUGUAUUGAACCGAGAUGAAGACACUUUGGGAUGAAGGGGGCUCAACCUGUUGAUCAUACUCCAACGAUCAAGUCAGUGAGAGCAUUCAAAUUAUAAAAUUUGUAUUAGUGUAGAGCUCUUAGAAAAACUUACCUGUACUCAAGGGCUUAGUGAUGGAAGAGGCCCAAGCUCCGGCCCUAGUUCAAGCCCAACAACUAGGUCCAUGGAAAAGAGGAUUCAAGAAGAUUGGGACUCUACUACUGAUGGCAGAGAAACAUUUCUUUAUAUGUUCAAAGAGGACCACAAGAAGUAAAGCCCAAGCCAUGAGAGCCAAUUUCUUUAUUUGUAAUUUCAGUAGAAUAGGGUUCCUUUAUCAUAAUGGGGGGGAGGGGGGCGGGGGGUGUGUGCUUAUCAUUGUAGCUUGAGUAAAGCUUUUUAGGGUAAGAAGUUAACCUAGCUUAUAGAAGUUUCCUCCUAGGGUGCGACAUUGACUUUAGUCAAAACCCUAGCAGUUGCUCUUUUGUGUAUUCCCCUUCCUACCCUUGCUCCUUGUUCUCCAAGGCACUUGAACCUAUAUAAUGGGGUGCUUGACUCAUGUUUUAAUAAGAUCAAUUUUAUGAGUAAAAUGCUGCCAAUUAUUGCAAGCUUCUACUCCCUUGUCUAGUCUCUCUAGGUUAGACACUUUGAUCUUCAGCUCCAUCUUUCUCCAAGUGAUAUGGCCCAUCCAAUCACUCUCCAUACCUUUCAUGCACCUACAAGGAACCCAUAGCUCUAUAUGAGCCCUUCUUGAUCCAUCACAUCCAUUGCUUCCGCCACCCUUUUCAAAUCUCCAAGAAGAACAACCCAUCAUUUGGUAACAUCACUUAGCCCCCUUUUUAUAGGCAUUCCUUCAACAAUUUCUUCAACAAGAAUAGAACUUCAACAACAAGAAUAUAAUUUCAACAACAAUAAUAUAAUUUUCAACGACAAGAAUAUUCUGUUGACGUAUAUCUUUAUUUUCGGGUACAAUGCGACAUUAUUCUUAAUACUUUUAUUUACAUCGAAAAUAUAUAUACGCUCAACUACUUCAAUUAUUCACCACGUGGUUUUGCUUUUAGUUAUCCUCUUGAUGGACUGCCAAACGUCUGGGCCGACCUCAUGACAAACCAUUGGGCCGUUACUCACCUUAGGCCGAGCAAGGUAUCUCUCAAACUGGCCUGUCUAACCGAGCUACUACACUUAAGUGCUUGGGUCGAUGACCUGUGCACGUCUGACCAGUACACAAGCCCCCAGGCUCAAGCCGAGCUUAACGAGGCGAAAAGGCUCUUUUCUACCGGUGGCUGGCAUGACGUUUCUUAUAGGGGUAGCUGUGACGUGGUUGUCGAAGUGUCUCCUAAAAAGACAUCUCACCAUACUAAAUCUGGUGCGUACACGUGGCACAUUAUCAAUAGUGGGAAAAUGCUAUCGUUUCAAGUUCUUUUUCCAAAAUAACCCUUUUUGUUCUCCCUUUGAAUCAACCAUUCUUCACUCUUUCACUCCAGACCCAUCACUGUGCUCGACCUCGCACUGCCGUCCCACCAGAAGACCAAGUAUGCUUUAUCCACUCAAUCUCAUUGGAUGAUUAUCAUUUACCUCAUUGAUUCUACUUUGAGAAAUGCAUCUUAGUUUUCUUCGAUUCGAUUCAUUUUUCCUUGUCCUGAAUGGUAUUCAUAUUUUAUCUUUGUUUAUUCUUUGGUUGUCUUCGACAAUGGAUUAUAGUUCUGCGUCUUAGGGAGUUUAGGGAAUUAGGGGGUUGUUUGAGCAAAAAACAUGAAAGUUUAGUAAAAGUAGUAGAGAUUAGGGAAGUGGAGCCUAUAUGUAGCGCUGAGUCAUCGAAUUCUUAUGGUCCAUUUUGUUUUUUCUACGCUACAUUCUUUAAAAAGGUCUUACUUCGUCUUCCCUUGUCCAUUUUCGAAAAAGAGUUAUUAAUUGAGUUGAACGUAGCACCCGCCCAGCUACAUCCGAAUAGCUGGGCAUUCAUCCGAGGUUUUAUAAUUUUGUGUUCCCAGCUCGACAUUUCACCGACUGUGAAGGUCUUCCUACAUUUUUUCACAGCUAAACACUUAGGUUGCCAACAAUGGGUUUCUCUAAACGGUGGUCCUGGGAGAGGUUUGCUUACUCUUUUAUAGUCAUCCUACAAAAAACUCAAAGGUCGAUUUAUCAAAGUCCGAGCCUCGACAGGAGAUCAGUCGCUACUAGAUAACUUUCCUUUGUAUUAGACACCCAAAUCCCGGUUUUAGAGUGCUCGACGCUUGGAAGAUCUACCCCAAGAGACCAAGGCAUUUGUGAACAUUUGGUGAAUCUGAAAUUCAUCUUUGAUACUAUGACACUAUUGACUAAAGAAUAUCUCCCCGGUGCUCUCAAAAUCUAUAUUGGUACAUCUCCUUUCUAACCCUUGAAGGGAAAAGUUAAUCCAUGAUCUCUAAAUAUUUAUUCAUUUUUGUAGAUAGCAUGCUUUCCAAUAUUAACAAGGUUGAGAUGGCCGAGCUCACCAGGAAAAUGAGGGCAACUGCUGAUGGAAGAGGCCCAAGCCCAUAGCCUAGUCCAAGUUCAAGCCCAACAAAUAGAAGAUCUGAGCCAACUACAAGAGCUAUGGCAAGAAGGAUCCAAGAGGAUUGAGACACUGCUACUGAUGGCGGAGAAACUUUCCUCUAUAUGUUUAAAAAUGCUAUAAUUUUAGUGUAGGGUAGAAUUUAAUUUUUGUCAAAGUAGAAUAGGAAAUUUUAUUUGUAAUUGAAAUUUGGCACCUAAAAAACCAACCUAGGUUAAAUUAGGGUUUCUAAAACACCUAAUUAACCAAGGCCGAUUAUGAUUAAGCCAUGGAGAAGAGUACACAUUUUUCCACAUGUUCCAUAUGAUACAUGAGCUAAACAUUUUCCAUCAGAGGAUAUGCAUUUGUUCAUCACAGCACAUACUGCACAUGUAUCAUCAAAAUCCUCUGUGUCUUCAACAGUCAUAUGCACUUCGGGAGUGUUUGGAUAAGAUUUUAUUCCUGCAAAUGAAAUGGAAACUGGAGGCAUGGCAGAAUUAAUCUCAACACAUAUAUCAGGAUCACAAGUAUAGCCUGUAUCAAAGUUGGAAAGAUUUUCUAUAUCUAAAUUAGGAUCAUGAUGUGAAUUCAAACUUUGCUUAGAAAUAUCUUCAAUCUGUCUAGCCAAUUGACCAACUUCUCUUCUAAUUCUAAUAGACUAGCAUCUAUGCUUUGUUGAGAUUUCAUUGUAUUUAUCAUUAAUUGUCUCAAUCAGAUCCUCUAAAGAUGGCUCUUCAAGAUUAUGAGGAAUAUUAUCAGUUUGCAAAAAUGGU
rnacentral:lncRNA from 1 species